ensembl:lncRNA
GUUGUGUUAAUCACAUCAGGGAUGUAAGUCCUUAGGUGACGGCCAAGCAGAAAACGAGGUAAUAAUUCUCUCUGCAAGGGAGAAGGUAUAGCCCCCCCCCCUCCCCAAGAGGGGCCAACAUGUAAGAGUUUGUGGAAUGUUCUUUGUCUCUGUCUCUGUGUAUAAGAUGUAAGGGCGGUGGCCACAAUUCAGAGAUGGUCCUAGUGUUUCACUGGGAUGCUCUCUCCUGGACAAGCUGGAGGAGUUGGUUGGUGAGAGGGAGGUCUGGGGUUCUCUCUUUAGGCUGCUGCCCCUGCCAGCCACCGAUAAGUGGAAGAAGAUGGAUGGAUUGAUGCAAAACUGUUCACGAAGUGAAAGAUAUCGAGCUACAUUCCAAGUCAUACUAAACUUUUUUUUUAUCCCUUUUGAAGGCAAUUUGAUCCAUAGUGUAGUGAUUUAUAUGUUUAACUGUCAAGCAAACAAUCCCUGGUUCAAGCUUGAGAGAAAACGUAAAUCCUUUGAGGGUUAUGUCAUGAAGGGUGUCUAGUGUAAAAAUCUGCCGAAUCAACUCUAUAAUGAAUGAUUAAUGUGGGUAAUGUAGUUAAGAGUAGCUUUUUUUUUUUUUUUCUUUCAAAAUUUCUAGACUACACCUAAUACCACUAGGUAGCAAUAAUGUACCAAUGGGCAAUAGGCCCUGCACUUUGAGUGGUCUGUCCACAGUGUUUCCAAAUGGGACCCAAAGGGACAAGUUCGGAAGACAGACAGACAUGUCUGUCUUCAUGCAUGUGCUAAUAUUGGUCAAUUUUGUCAGCAAUUCUUAGCCUUGUUCUGUUUUCUAUAGCAGUGUGUUUGCAACAGAUAAUCCAAUUCAACUAGGCAGGUGUAAUCCCUGCUAGAGAGAAUGUGUGAUUCUCAUACGCUGCAUUACUGGGACUAUUUUUUAACCUUGGUUGUUCUAUUUACUCUUAUAUUAUAAGGGAUAUGGGUUACAGCCAUUCCUCUAACACCAUUUGCAUAUAAUGUUGUUUUUUGCACAGUCAAAGGAGCAUUCAAGAAACAUUUCACUGUGUGUUGUGCUCGUAUGACUAUGCAUGUGAUAAAUAAAGAAUUUUCUGGGAUGCUUAGGACUCAUAUUGCACUGCUGAAAAUAGUUUAUUUUGAUGCAUAUGCUGUUUUUUUUUUUGCAAAUUUGCAUUAUAAUAUUUAUUUUCGUUUUUGCUGCAGUAUAUAAAAAUUGGUGUAUUUCAGAAAUAAUAAUAUGAAGACACUUAAAAUAAAUUUCCUGUGGUGGGAAACUAUUUUG